UCCAGUCUUCGGCGCAUUACUUGACUUAGAAAGACGAACAUCUGGGCAAGGGAAAGCACAGUGCGCCUGGUGCAAAUGGCUUUCUUUUUUCAUCAUAUAGAAAUCAGAAUGGAGGGUCCUACCUAUAUACAUGAUUGAUAGAAUCACUACGAAGGUAGGGCGGUCAACUUGAUGAGGGAGAGGCAUGAGUGCAGUUCGAUUUUUUGGUGUAUACGUUUGUAGUGAGUAGGGCCUCUUUCUCGUUGAUCAGUUCGCUUCCACUCUAUUGAAAAGUCAGAAUUCCUAAAGCGGUUUUGUCAACGAACGCGUCUCGGGCCGGAUUGACUAACCUAACCCACGCUUUUCCAUAGUUGGGUGCUCUGCUUUAGAUAGGGGCUAGGCUAUGUUUGAUAAUACCCAAAACAAAUGAAAAGAGAUCGGUGAAGUCCACGCACAUCCUCCAUCCUCCGUCAUCCUUCUUUACCAGAACGGGAUUGGCGAGCCACACCGGGUAGUAUACUUCUCGAAUUAUUCGGGCCUUCAGAAGUUUAUCAACUUCUUGAUUGAUCACUUCGCUCCAUUCACGGGCAAAUGUUCUCUUUUCCUAUUUGAUCGGUUUCAUCCAAGGAUCCACGUUUAGCUUAUGAGUAAUAAGCUCGGAGGGGGAUCCCAGCAUCUCAUCGGCCGAUUGCAAUUGAAUAUUCUUCCUCUUCCUCUCUUGUUUUAACUCCUAAAUACUUCUUAGUGACUCUUAAGUAGACUUAGGCCUGGGAGGCCUAAGGAACGAGCCUUUAGAGUGCAUUAGGAGUCCAUUUCCUUUGUUGUCUUAUGAUGCGAAGUAAAGAGCUCAAACCCUGGUAUUACUAGUAUAGAGCCGACUUCUUCACCCACGUGUUCCCUAUGAUCAUUCUGUCCAGGAAAGCCCAACUAAC
rnacentral:lncRNA from 1 species